GUCCAGGGAUGGGAUCCCACAGUGUUCCGUUUACCAGGCAGAUGCCAUGUCCACUAGGCUACCCUGGA